rnacentral:rRNA from 1 species
GACGAACGCUGGCGGCGUGCUUAACACAUGCAAGUCGAACGGAAAGGCCCUGCUUUUGUGGGGUGCUCGAGUGGCGAACGGGUGAGUAACACGUGAGUAACCUGCCCUUGACUUUGGGAUAACUUCAGGAAACUGGGGCUAAUACCGGAUAGGAGCUCCUGCUGCAUGGUGGGGGUUGGAAAGUUUCGGCGGUUGGGGAUGGACUCGCGGCUUAUCAGCUUGUUGGUGGGGUAGUGGCUUACCAAGGCUUUGACGGGUAGCCGGCCUGAGAGGGUGACCGGCCACAUUGGGACUGAGAUACGGCCCAGACGCCUACGGGAGGCAGCAGUGGGGAAUAUUGCACAAUGGGCGGAAGCCUGAUGCAGCAACGCCGCGUGCGGGAUGACGGCCUUCGGGUUGUAAACCGCUUUCGCCUGUGACGAAGCGUGAGUGACGGUAAUGGGUAAAGAAGCACCGGCUAACUACGUG